CUAUUGCUGAAUGCUUAUAAUACUGAAGAAUACUUAACUUUUCCUCCUACUCUCCACUCUCUCAUAUCAAUACAAUAACAACCACGACAUCAAUUUCAGUACCUUGUGUAAUUCACAAACACACAAGCAUAAUCCAAACCCUAAAACAAACAACUUCUAAUCCACAAAAUCUGAUUGAGACAAUUCCUUUGAUUACAAUUCCUC
rnacentral:lncRNA from 1 species